rnacentral:rRNA from 1 species
UACGAAGGGUGCAAGCGUUACUCGGAAUUACUGGGCGUAAAGGGUGCGUAGGUGGUUUGUUAAGUCUGCUGUGAAAUCCCCGGGCUCAACCUGGGAAUGGCAGUGGAUACUGGCAAGCUAGAGUGCGGUAGAGGGUAGUGGAAUUCCGCGUGUAGCAGUGAAAUGCGUAGAUAUGCGGAGGAACACCGAUGGCGAAGGCAAUCCCCUGGGCCUGCACUGACGCUCAUGCACGAAAGCGUGGGGAGCAAACAGG